rnacentral:rRNA from 1 species
ACAGAGGGUACGAGCGUUGUUCGGAAUUAUUGGGCGUAAAGGGCGCGUAGGCGGUGCGGUAAGUCACCUGUGAAAUCUCCUGGCUCAACUGGGAGCUUGCAGGCGAAACUGCCGUGCUGGAGUGUGGGAGAGGUGAGUGGAAUUCCCGGUGUAGCGGUGAAAUGCGUAGAUAUGACAUAGAACACCAAUUGCGAAGGCAGCUCACUACCCAGAUAUUGACACUGAGGCACGAAAGCGUGGGGAUCAAACAGGA